rnacentral:rRNA from 1 species
GAAUUUUGGACAAUGGGGGCAACCCUGAUCCAGCCAUGCCGCGUGAGUGAAGAAGGCCUUCGGGUUGUAAAGCUCUUUCGGUGGGAACGAAAUGGCGCGGGCUAACACCGCGCGUCGAUGACGGUACUCACAGAAGAAGCACCGGCUAACUACGUGCCAGCAGCCGCGGUAAUACGUAGGGUGCGAGCGUUAAUCGGAAUUACUGGGCGUAAAGCGUGCGCAGGCGGUGCGCCAAGCUCGAUGUGAAAGCCCCGGGCUUAACCUGGGAAUUGCAUUGAGGACUGGUGUGCUCGAGUGCGGCAGAGGGGGGUGGAAUUCCACGUGUAGCAGUGAAAUGCGUAGAGAUGUGGAGGAACACCGAUGGCGAAGGCAGCCCCCUGGGCCGACACUGACGCUCAUGCACGAAAGCGUGGGGAGCAAAC